rnacentral:rRNA from 1 species
GGAAAGGGCGAGCAGGGCGCCGCGGUAAUACGUAGGGGGCGAGAGUUAAUCGUAAUUACUGGGCGUAAAGCGAGCGCAGGCGGUUAUGUAAGACAGAUGUGAAAUCCCCGGGCUCAACCUGGGAACUGCAUUUGUGACUGCAUGGCUAGAGUACGGUAGAGGGGGAUGGAAUUCCGCGUGUAGCAGUGAAAUGCGUAGAUAUGCGGAGGAACACCGAUGGCGAAGGCAAUCCCCUGGACCUGUACUGACGCUCAUGCACGAAAGCGUGGGGAGCAAACAGGAUUAGAUACCCUUGUAGUC